GACGUAGGGCGCGAGCGUUGUCCGGAUUUAUUGGGCGUAAAGAGCGUGUAGGCGGCCAGACAGGUCCGUUGUGAAAAACUCGAGGCUCAACCUCGAGACGCCGAUGGAAACCGUCUGGCUAGAGUCCGGAAGAGGAGAGUGGAAUUCCUGGUGUAGCGGUGAAAUGCGCAGAUAUCAGGAAGAACACCCGUGGCUAAGGCGGCUCUCUAGUACGGUACUGACGCUGAGACGCGAAAAGCGUGGGGAGCGAACAGG
rnacentral:rRNA from 1 species